UGGAAAAUAAUGAAACUGUCAUUAUGAAAACAUUAUAAUUACACAGUGUAUAUUGUUAGGUUGAAUCAGCUAAUAAGGUCCUGCUUUAUGCUGAUGUAAUGAUAAUCCCUAAGGACAGUAGGCCACAGUGUCCACCCACUAGUGUCCAACCAGUAACAUAUGCAGUAAUAUAACAUUGAAAUUUCUUGGUGGUUCCAGGUUACAUUAUUUGCUGUAACAUAAAUUUUUUGUAAUAAUGUAUUUUUAAUUAUUUUAAACUUAUUGUGUAGCAUGUCUGAGUGUGCAUUAACAUCCAUUAAACCAUUAAUUCUUUGAUAUAUA
rnacentral:lncRNA from 1 species